rnacentral:rRNA from 1 species
CAGUAGCCGCGGUAAUCCGUAGGGUGCAAGCGUUAAUCGGAAUUACUGGGCGUAAAGCGUGCGCAGGCGGUUCGCUAAGACAGAUGUGAAAUCCCCGGGCUUAACCUGGGAACUGCAUUUGUGACUGGCGGGCUAGAGUAUGGCAGAGGGGGGUAGAAUUCCACGUGUAGCAGUGAAAUGCGUAGAGAUGUGGAGGAACACCGAUGGCGAAGGCAGCCCCCUGGGCCAAUACUGACGCUCAUGCACGAAAGCGUGGGGAGCAAACAGGAUUAGAUACCCCUGUAGUCCCUGUCUCUUAUAC